AGGAGGGGCUCGGUGCAGGCUAAUCCACGCGCGGAGUCCAGGGUCCCUCUACAGCGGUUUCCCUGGGAACCACUCUGGCUGGAAAUCCUGUGGCUGCCUUUGGAGGAUGUGAACUCUCCUGGGAUGGACCAGAAGUGCUCUGCGCUCUGCUAUUAACCCCAUGAAAAGAGUUCUUUCCAGAUAAGCGGAUACUUGCGGCUGCGUGGAGUGGAUCCCAGUCCCAGUUUGCUACCAGCAAUCCCAACCCAAGACACAGAUGAGCAUUGUCUGGGAAAGCACACUGUCGUCACCUGCCUCCCCCAUCCCGGUCCCCACCACUCUCUGACUGAUGCCAUCGCCUAGAUGAUAAAGCGCCCGUCACUCAAGCACAGAAGUCGAAAUUCAUAGUUCAUUUCUUUACUUAUGUAAGAUCAUUCACUGACAAAAGAACUCAAAUGGAAAGGCUUUGGGCAUAUGCAGAAACGGGGAGAAAAAAAUAAUCUCUCCGAGUCAGAAGCCUCGGGGGAGCAUAGCAAGACUUAUCAAAGUUACAGUGCUCCAUUUGGAAAGCGCCAACCGCCAGCCCUCGGGCGAGGUGCAGUGGUGCAUAAUUAAUGUAGUCCCAGACACAGGUCACUGAAGUGCCCCACAGGUGUGUGCCUGGUUUUCAAUAAGGCCUUUCCCUCGGAACUCCUCUUCCGACUUUGAGUUUGUGCUCCCGGAAGCCUUGCACGAUCGGGAGAAUUCAGAAGAACGAUCUGAAUGCCCAUCAAUAGAAAAUGGCAAGAAAUUACGGCAGAUCUAGUCUCUGGAAUCCUAGGUAUUUGGGGAAAAGAAGCAAGCUGGGUCCCAAAACACUGAUAUAGAAAAGUGGC
rnacentral:lncRNA from 1 species